GAAGGAAUUUUAAUGAGGACUUCAUAAUUUGAAAGGAAGGGAGGCAUUGCAACUGAUGAUAAAAAUAACGGAAUAAGAAUGGCUGAUAUGUUGACCUGCAUAGAGAUUUUUCCCCCUUUCUUUUAACAUCUACUUUACUGUCCCUUGUCAUCCAAAAUUCAGGAAGAAAACUCUCUAACUCCAAUGUGGUAUUAGAAAGUGGCAUUCCUUUAUUCCUCAUGAUGCUCACUGGGUGACUUGACAAGCAAGUGUGCCCUUUCAGAGUUCUGGUUCUACAUUUACAUAGUUAAGACAUAUGCAGUACAUUGGCAUACAUAGUCAUUCUUCAAGGUCUCAGAGAUCUAUGCUAAUGCCCCUUUGGGCAUGCUCAGUGGUAUUUAGGGUCAUCAAGUGUCCACCUACUUCUUCCCCUCUGUUCACCAUCAGCUUCCUCACCAAAACCUUUCACUCACUUUCAUUCGCUUUUCCCCUGUUUGGAAGAUUUCCAUUGCUUAUUAGUCCACAGAGAGCAAUCUUUUAAAAACAAUGCAUGUGGAACCUGAGGAAAGUGUCCUUGGACAUUUUGAGGCAAAAGACAAAAGUAUUCUAUUGUGACUCCAGUACUUCUCAGGAGGCAGAAUCAUUGAGGCAGAAGAUAAAAGUAUUUUAUUGAGACCCCAGUGCAAAAUUAUUAAGGAAAAACAAGACUACUCACCUACUAAAGCUGAAAUGGAAAGUUUCAGAACUAUCAUUUAUGGAUUCCUUUUGCUAAACUAAUAUAUUGGUUCUUAAACUAAUGUACUAAACUUAUUGCAAAACAAACCAAACUAUAUCACCCUGUAUUAGACAAUUCAUUUAAAACAUCUGCCCUCUUUGUAGCCUUUGAACUCUGUUUGCUGUACCAUCAUUGUCUAAUCAAAGCAGCUUUGCCAUUUGAAGAUUCUUUGACAUGUUAUCAGACCUAACUCCAAGCAGGAAUAAAUGCAGAAUGGAUGAAAUGCAACUNNNNNNNNNNNNNNNNNNNNNNNNNNNNNNNNNNNNNNNNNNNNNNNNNNNNNNNNNNNNNNNNNNNNNNNNNNNNNNNNNNNNNNNNNNNNNNNNNNNNCGGCGCUCAGCGGCGGCCCCUGCCCCUGCUGCCCGCUCGGGCACGCCGAAAGCAGGGACAUCAGCAGGGGUCAUCCCACGCCUCAUUAAUUUUGUUAACAUACAGGCAAAUGAGACAACAUCAAAAGUAAAAUAUGAACCUAACUUUCCAAAACCACAAAUACAGAAAAAUGGUCACUUCCAGAACUCAGUCUGUUGAGAAAUCCAGGGCAAAAAAUACAACUGUGAAAAUGGCGUAAGUCAGACUGGAAAGAUAACUGAACAUGUAGGGGGCACUGACACGGGGCUGAAUGCUUUGAUGUUUAUGCUGAAGAAAUGUUAAUAUUACCCAUCUUUCCUACUAAUUACAAUGUUUGAAGUAUGUAAAAGAACAUAUAUGACGGCUCCACUGCAGAAAGCCAAAGGUACUAUACUUUCCCAUCACCGUUGCAACUUUUGCUUGUGUAAAUAAUACCUCUCUGUCAUCAUACAUCCUGUUAUCACUGAAUAGAUAUGGAUGUCUGUAGAAGAAUGUCCUACUGAUGAGUUUUUCAUUUCCACAGUUUCAUUUUUCUUUAGUUAAUUAGACCAUGAGAAAGAAACAAAAAUGUCAGAGUGAAUAAUCCAAUGAAGAUCCUAUGUCAGAUUUUAGAGCUCUCAAUUUCAUACAAUCCAUAAGGAAUCUGAUUUCUGUUCACAUCAUUGCCUCCAGAAAAAAAAGGAUCAGCUCCUCUUGAUGGUUUAGUGGAACUGCUACAGUUUCUUUCUUCUCCUGUGCUUACAGAGACAGGUCAAGAAUCCAAGUCUUAGUGUAAUUCUACUUAUAAACCACAUUCGAAAUCAAGAUUAGAGGAUGUAUGGAUUGCCAACUGAAACAGACAGAUAACAACAAAUUGCUGUUAAUUGCAUACUGCAACAUGCAAAUUUGCAAUUUAUCCAAAAUGGGGCAAAACAGCCACAGAACCCCCAGCUUCAUGCUGAUGACCUGAGCCAACCUCUUCACUCUUUGUACGUUUCAACUUUGGCUUACAUACAGGCACCAACAUUUCAAGAAAUACAGCAAACUCCUAAUAUGUGUUGAGCCGUCUAGCUAUACAUACAGUGUACCAGUUUGCUUCUUAUUUGGAAAAACGUAUUUCUAUUCUAUGUUCCUGCAGGCCUAUGUAUUAACAACACUAUUACUGGUUAAAAAAAAGUAGUUUACCCAAAAUAAAGAACUUUCAGUGUAAGGCACAGUGUGUUUACAGAUUUUAUAGGCUGUGCAUGGGCAAUGGUCAGGAAUUAAGACUCCAAGGGGAGCAAGAGCAUAACUGAAUUAUAACUAGUUUGUUCAAUGUUCAUGUUAAUAUUAUUAACAUAGAAAGUAUCAUCCGCAGCAGGGACCAUAAUUUGAAUGCGAAGGGAAUGUGUUACUAAUAUAAUAUCAGAGACUUGGCAAUAAAGGAUAAUCUUUGUUCUGCACUUACAAAAAAAAAAAAAAUUUUCAGAAGAUUGUUUACAUGAGGUAAAUACUGAAAGGAAGAGGUCAUUUUAUUUUUGGCUCAUAUUUGUUUUAUUUUAAUGCUUUAUUUUAAUUCUUUAAUAUUUUUUGUGUUGAACCUUGUUUUUCUUGAAAACUAAAUUCUAUCAUUUACUUUUGUAAUGGCUUACCUUUGUUUUUUCCUAUUUUAUUUAAUUGUUUCAACUUAUUUAGUAUAAUGGGCUGUUGUUGUAGCAUACAUUUUUGGCUUAAUAAUCUUACAAGAGUAUUCUGGCAAGGAAAUGGUUACUGGGAUGCUAACUCCAAUUACAAAGGGCUGACAAAUCCAAGUAGCAUCUGUGGAUGACAGAGAGGAUUGUAACUGGGAAUAAGGGUGGAUGCUGUUGUUGAUUUAACAAAGCAGGUGGCUCAGUACCACACAGUCAUUCGCUCAUUUCCCCAUUCCCAGUGGGAUGGGAGAGAGAGAAUCAGGAAAAAAAACAAAAAGAUGUGGAACUCGUGUGUUGAGAUAAAACUAUUUACAAAGAUAGAGAAAAUUAGAAGGUUAAUAGCUAUGACUAUAUAUAUGUGUGAAUAUAUGUAACAAGUGAUGUACAAGCAAUAGCUCAUCAACUCUGACUGACCUGACCAAUGCCCAGGUAGUCCUGUGAGUAGCAAAAGAGAGAGAGAUGCACACCCAUUCUGUUCAAAACUUAUUCCUCAUGAUGUCAUAUAGUUUGGAAUAUCCCUUUGGCCAGUUUAAGUCAACUGUUGUAAUUCUGUUCACUCUCAGCUCCUAGGGUCCUUUGAUGAAAAUGGCCUUGGCACUGGACUGGAGGAAAGCAAAUGUCAUCCCAGUCUUCAAAAAGGGUGAAAAAAAAGACCCUGGUAACUAUAGACCGGUCAGCCUCACCUCCAUCCCUGGAGAGGUGAUGGAACAGCUUAUCCUUGGCUCUGUCUGUAGGCAUAUCAAGGAUAAGAGGGUCAUUAGAGGCAGUCAGCAUGGCGGCUUCACCAAGGGAAAUCAUGCUUGACCAAUCUGAUAGCCUUUAUGAGGAAAUAACCAGGUAGAUAGAUGAUGGUAAAGCAGUGGGUGCAGUCUAUCUUAAUUUCAGUAAAGCAUUUGACACCGUCUCCCACAGCAUCCUCCCAGCUACAUUGAGGAAGUGUGGACUGGAUGGUUGGGUAGUGAGGUGGACUGUGAACUGGCUGAAUGGAGGAAGCCACAGAGUUGUGGUCAGUGGGACAGAG
ensembl:lncRNA